ACUCCUCGGGAGGGCAGGCAGUGGGGAAUAAUUGCACAAUGGGCGCAAGCCUGAUGCAGCCAUGCCGCGUGUAUGAAGAAGGCCUUCGGGUUGUAAAGUACUUUCAGCAGUGAGGAAGGUGGUAUGUUAAUAGCAUAUUCAUUUGACGUUUAGCUGCAGAAGAAGCACCGGCUAACUCCGUGCCAGCAGCCGCGGUAAUACGGAGGGUGCGAGCGUUAAUCGGAAUUACUGGGCGUAAAGCGCAUGCAGGUGGUUUGUUAAGUCAGAUGUGAAAGCCCGGGGCUCAACCUCGGAAUUGCAUUUGAAACUGGCAAACUAGAGUACUGUAGAGGGGGGUAGAAUUUCAGGUGUAGCGGUGAAAUGCGUAGAGAUCUGAAGGAAUACCGGUGGCGAAGGCGGCCCCCUGGACAGAUACUGACACUCAGAUGCGAAAGCGUGGGGAGCAAACAGGAUUAGAUACCCUGGUAGCUACGAGU
rnacentral:rRNA from 1 species